GCGAGAACACGAAGACGGCUACUGCGGUUUCUAGAACGCUUGCUUACUUGCUUGCUCACGUGCGUAAACACGGGUGGAAUGCAAACCCCCACGAAAAAGAAGCUCCAGUCCCCAGGAGGAGAGCGAGGAAGGCAUGUCAAGUUAGAGCGGGGACUGCGGACGGCAGAGUGCACACAAGAGAGCACAGCCGCACACCGGCCACAACCACUGGGGCGAGCAGAGCCUUCUCCGGGUCAGUGCUGGGACCCGAUUCCUGGAAAGAUCCGCCGAAGCACCAGGAAAGCGAGUAAAAAAAAGAAGUCAUAAAGAGCCCCGCGGUUAUGGGACCCUUGGGGAACCUUCGAGAAAAAAAAUAAAAUACGAAGGGGGAAACACGAAGCGUGCAACGUACGCACCACGACACGGAGGCACUGAAAAGCAGCAACAGCACCACCGGCGCAUACCACAACGCUCCCUCGCCCUUCUCCCCUGGCUGCAUUUCAGCAAAAGCACGGCAGCUGAGAAGGCGGUCGAGGAGCAAUGAAGGGAAGGGGGUCCUUGCGAGCGGCCUCCGCAACAGCCUCGCUUCCAGGCCAGGUUCUGGCUCGACGGCUCUUUGCACGCGCGGCGGCGAGCAAAGCAAAACAAGAGUGGUCGAGCCCGCUUUCGCGCUGCUACAUCCGCGUUCCUCAGAGAGACGGCCGGCAAGGCCUUGCCAAGCAACAGCGGCCUGCACACGCAGGGGCGCGCGUAUUGCCGGACUGCACAGCAGCAGCAGGGAGACGAACGUUCGGGGAGAGCGUGCGAGGCAGAGAAGAGGAGCGGCGGCCGCCGGAGCUAAUCACAGAGUCUGGCGCGCCGGCAGUGCGUCGACGGGUAAUGGUCAACGAUCGCCCCGGGACCGAUCCAAAGAGGAGCCGACAAAUUGGGCGGUCAAGGGGGCACGCAACGCGCCGGCUCCCGUGGGCCGCGUUGUGCGGCGGAAGGACUCCCUUUUUUUCCAAGGGGGGUCGGCGGAAGGCGCGAGGUCGCGCGAGCGCGGUGCACGACGGGCAGCGGCGCACAUACGGGUACCACGCGCGUUCGCUGCGGCUUGUACGCCUGCCUGCCACUGCAAGAGGGAGGCGCGGACACGACUGCUUCUACAGCGGUAGACGAGGCAUGCCCGCCUUCCGCUUAGAACGGUAGCAAAGCGUGAAAUGGUGCGUCUCGCCCCCACUCCAUAGAGACCAGAAGCCGCAAGAUGCCACGUUAUAGCUGUCCACAGAACUGUUAGCCCGGCGUCUUGCUAGCCAACAACCGCUGCAGAGAAAUCCGAUACGAGGAAUGAGACUGCUGGACAUCAAGCUUGAACGAAAGAAACCACCGACACCUCCUGGCAACACGACUUGUUCGUGCGCCUUAAGCUCCGCCCUUCUAGAUUCGGCGUAUUACCACACCUAAACUAACUGCUACCCACGCCCUAUAUGUAUAGUAAGCAAAUAUGGUGUUUCACAUAAUGACGUUACGGUCGUCGCAGCUUCGGACAUACUAACACACAACAGCAGAGCAUGACGGGCGCUAGUCACGUGGCUAACAAACCGGCCAGUGCCACCCACGUUCACACCACGAGGCCACAACGCGAGGGAAACCGCACCACGCGAAUCGUCCACGGAAAAUGCGCUAAACUUUCAGUCACGCCUGCACCGCGCAAGCAUAUCAUCGCCUUCAGGAGCGCACACAAGUUUCCACGCAAUUUGCUCUCUUAUCAAGGCGGCCAAGCCGGUGCGCCGGCGAUGAUAGAACGCAGGGGUAGGGAAAACAGGGCCGCGAAAACCGAGUUUUUUUUUUUUAACUUUGUUAAGCGCAAAGCUUCUGUCCCGCGUUUUUCCGCACCCAGCCAGGCACAAAGGAGCCGCCAAAGCGUAGAGAUAGGAGAGAAUGGGACGAGAGAAAGAAAGAAAAAAAAAGCCGAAAACAAAAAGCCGAACGUAAACUCCACAAGUUUAAGCAGCCACGAUGACGACAAACUAGAGAGCACCACGCAGCCCUACGCAAGAAGUGCUCGACACUUUUCGCCGGGCCCCCUUACCAUCACUCGCAGGAGACGAAAAAAAAGUAAAUACCGACAAAGUUCGCGGGGAAGCCCCACGAAGAGCAGGCGCGCAUGCGCCAAAGCAGAGCCCGCUGUCCUUUUCGCACUAUGAGCGCAUCCGCUCUGUUCCCCUCGCAUCCUCUUCCUGCAAUGGUGAACACGCUCCCCAUCCUCCCUGGGGCUUCGCAGAGCGAGGAGAGCCCCACAAUCGAUAACGGAACGCGGAGGAGCCGCAGCAACGCCUCCUCGCCAUCGCCACUGCCCUCCCCCACAUCCCAGAGUUGUUCCUGCACGGAGUGCAAGUCCGCAAUACGCAGUGCCGCGCCUCUGUCACACAGCGGACAGUACGCGAAAUGCUUUUUGUGCGCGGCUUCUUCGCAACCGAGGCGUGUGCCCUGUAUAUUCUCUUCCCCUGUAUAUACUCUCUUCUUCUCAGGCAGAAUUCCAAGAAUCGCUGGACACGGCUGCGACCCGCGAGAGACGCCAGCCGCACGAGAGCGCAACUGUAUUCGAAAAGCGAAUGAGAGAAAAGAGAGCAGAUAUCGUACGAUGGCUAGAAUUGCCGGUGCCGGUAUAAGGCCGGCGGCCCAACAGAGACGACUAAUGCCAAUUUCGCAUACAAGCUCUGAACACCUUCGCAAGGAGCGGGCCAUAAAAUUUGACCAAGUCACAAAUUGCGCAGGCAGCAAGAGCGCGUUCGUGGUCGACUUCUGACCAAUCGCGAGAGUCGAGACCACAUUUACGGGGGACUAUAUUAUGGUAGUCGACACUGGAAAGCACGAUUUCUUGUACAGCGGUCACGAUAAACGCGACCCGUUAAGAGUUUUAAUAGUCGGUAGCCCAUGCCUCACAAUCGGUGGCAUUCAGUUACCCGCGAUAUAUUUCGCACAGAAAUUACGUACAAAACAGAUGACGUUUCUUUCAGCUCCUAAUCUGAAGUGACCAUAUACGAAAGUAGGAGAUACCUGCAAAAGUGCAACAGACAGCUAAAAUACCAAUAGAAGUGGGUAUGGAAUGUGCUGAAGAAAGAAAGUCUCCCGAAGACAAAUGGAAAACGAUAUGCGGGCAUGCAAGGUAUACGAUUGGCGGUGUGAGGUUCGCUCAGCAAGCUAUAGGGCUGCCAUUCGGCGCUCACCGCCGGGUGGCAACCAUUCGCACGCAGAUCGCGCGCAGUCCGUUAUACACAGUCGACGAGCGCGCACUAUAAGCGGCGUCGGGCCCGAGCCCGGACCGCGGGCGCACAGCCGGGGGGGGGGGGGGGGGGCAAUUCCAGGAAAAAAGGAGGGCGCGCAGCGGAGGGCAGGAUGAGGAGGCGCGCAAAGGAAACGGAGCGCGUUUAAAACCCGUAAUCUGGGGCGGCGCAGGCCUCCAAAAGCCGGGGCUCGGUUUCGCGAGGCCCACACGAACCAUCGGUUCACUCUCGUGACGACGAGACCCCGUGAUGCGAGCGGUGUGCGCGCCAACUUUACAUUCCCUGGAAAGCACCCUCCGUCUCGACUCCGGCACUGACGAGGCAGACUCGGGUUCUCUCUCUCUUUCUCUCUGGGCGCAGCGUGAAUGAAACGGGUGAUGGAGUCUGCAGCGCAUCUCGCCACCCACGUCGCCGACAGAUAUAUAGAACUAGGGGUGCGCAGGAAUUUAAAUUACGAAAGUUGUCGGGCAGGCCCGGGCGCAGAUGUCCCAGCGAAAUUCGCGUGCUCUGCAGUACUGCAGUGCGAAGGAGGGAAGAAAAAAAAAAAGGACGCUGAAAUAUUCACCGCUAAUAAAAAGUUCAGAAAUAGCUGACUACACGAAGCCGCUUGGUUCGCUAUUAAUAAUAGAACGAACGUCUUUUAGAACAGAUGACAAGCAAGAUCCAGGCAGUUGUCCAGCUGCAAUAUAGGGGCGCGCGGCCGGGCUAGGACGCAGUCCAGCCCGAGUUGCCAUAUAGUUUGGGUGUCGACGUUUCGAGCCUACCCAGAGAGGCCGCAGCAGCCAGCCCUGUAAGCCAGUAAGAACUCACAAGGCGGCCAGUUAUAUUGCGGUAUAUGAAAGCUUAAAAUAGCACAGCUAGCGCACAACUGACACGCACAGAAGAUACGAAGCUCGAUGUCGCGCCACAAUGCUCAGGCGCAAACUACUUCCGAAAAGCUCCGUUCUGGGAAGCCCGAUGCAAUCACACUGAGCGACCGGCAGCGUCAUGAGUACGCACUGGGUCGGACGGUACGCUGCUUCAUUUCAAGUUUUAGUUCGAUGGCAGGCAGGCAGGUCGGAAUUCGUGGCGGGCGUCACUAAUACUGCCUACAUCUCCCCCCCCCCCCCCCCUUUUUUUUUCGAGAGGGGGCAACCGGCUUCCACGGCUAGACAAACCCAACCACGGGAGCCCGACCAGAGAUCCCCAGCGCCGCCUAGCGCAGCGCGGCAGCAAUUAGCCCAGAUGCCAGGCGAAGGUGACGCUAAUGCCUCGCGCGGAACCGAGCAUCCACUGCACAGCGCGUCGAUCUGUAAGAGGGUGUCUGCGAGGGAAGGGGGAUGGCGAGCCUUGAUGGGAUCCGAACUCAUUUAGGCGAAAACGAUCCUCGCUGGAAGCCAAGCGGAGGUAAAUGCGGCGGGCCCGCGAGCGCACUCCCCUGCAUUACGCGAGCUCGUUAUCGAAUUUUCAAAAGGUUCAUCGCAUCACGCGCUGUCUUAUGGCAGAUUAUACCGGCGUCGGAAAAGGCUGCAGCACGGUGCGCGGGCCGCAUGCAGCCGCUCACGCGAGGGCGGCAGUUUGCGCGAACAAGUUCAUUUUCACCCAAUGCUUCCCUAUUUCCAUCGCGGACUACAUACGCGAGCGCGAAUUAGAAUGAGAGGGACUUGCAGCAGACUGCGCAUUUCCAGACCCGCGAAUUCGGCGAGAAAGCGCUUUACGAAGCAACACUAAGAGAAUUUCGGCACCAUCAAACCUUUACUACUACGGUGUGCGGAAUGCUUAAGGAACUGAUAGGUGACCAUAAUCGGAUUGACGGAGUAAAAUUUCAGUGUUUGAGAGCGCCACUGACACGAAUAAAGAAAGAAAAGUUGAGCGAUACCGUUAAGAUACGGAAACAUAACCUACGCACAUAAAGGAAGAGAAAAUGAACGCAGCAUGAUGGACUGCCACUUAAAAUGGGCGAACGCGGGGCCGGAGCCGCGGUUCCCUCGUCUCGCACCGAUACUUUCUCCCGGCGCGCGCGCGCUCACGAACAGCACUUGAACAUGAUGGAUGCGAAGGCGCCUGCGCCGAGAUUGCAGGGCGCCAGCAUGCGUGGAAACACGGCGUAGGCGGCUUAUAAGAGCCGCCAGGGCUUGCUUGAAGUGAGCGCGGCGCACUUAUAUAGUACAACGCUGCGGACGGUGCACGCCCGGCCCCGCCCACGCUUGCUUGCGCGCUUCGUUUUUCGCUUCAUUAAAAAAAAAAAAAAAAAAAAAAAAAAAAGGCAGCUGUCCGCCCGAUAUUUCAAGAACCGCGCGCACGCGGUUUUCCGCUUCCAGUCCUUUAACGGCGAUUACAUACUUCAUACUUCGAUGCAGCGGGACUGCAUGUUUCGAAAAUUGCGAGGCAGGCGAUCUCGGAAGGAAAAUUUAAAACGCUGAAGCGGACGAUAUAGGCGCGGGGGAGGUAUAAUGCACAUGUUCAGCGCUUUCAUCGGGGAAAUGGGCAAUGUCAUGCGAAAUGCGGGAGGGGAUUUCGACGCAAAUUUUUUUGAUGCAGAAACGCGUGGAUUGAAAAAUAAAAACUAGAAAAAAAGUUUCGGGAGUACGGUUACAGAGCGAGAGAAAUGAGCUUAACGAUUCGCUGCAGUAUAUAAUGGCUAUAAUAUAGCGCCGGUGCGUAUGCUGCCGUGGAGAGAACGUUGGCGAAACGACGCAUAUGUGCCACGCGCAAACCCGCUCUACGAACAGAUGAGCGCAUAUCUGCGUAAUGGGUCCAGGGUAUAGAGCACGCAUUUUACGACGGUGUACACACUGCCCUUACUGCAUGUACGGAAGUUCAGGCUGCGCACGCGCCUCAAUGCAAAAUCGCGUCGAAUGCCUUAUAGAACUAAAAAAAAAAAAAGUGCCCGAACAAUCGCAGUCCCUGACACACAAGCCAAUCGACACUGAUCAACGAGCGAGAGCGCUCUUGCGCAAACCCUUAUCCGCGUUCCCACGGUGCACCCAAGGAACUGUCAGCCCGUUCAGUGUAUAGACGGGACCCAUCCACUAAGACAAAAGCGUCGCCACGCGCACUAUAACUUGCGGCUUAGAAAACAAGGAAAAACAGGGCCUCGGUUUUCUCGACACGCAUCACAAGGUCUCGCCGCAUGGAUCCUCACGGAGAAGGGGCGCCGCGAAAGAAUGACGUGCGCGCACUCGUCGCCGUAUAUAACCGCGAAGCCCUGCCCGCCCGCUGCUGCUGCUUCAGAGGAACAGCCGAGUUUUCCAUUUCCGUUUCAUCCCGCAGCUCCUUUUCCUCGACAGUUUUCGGCGCGGAUUCAGAGCCCGCAUCGACAAGGAAGCAGCGAGAGAGGAAAGCAUGCAUACAUGAUGGAUUCGGUCGCCGGCGGAAGGGACCCGCAUCCACAUACACAAGCGCGCGCGCGUUCCGAGGGCUUACCAGGCAACAGAAGAGCGAGCCCCACACCCCGCGAGGACGCCGCCAAACGCCGAGCGCUAGCAAGCGCGCGUGUGUGUGUGUCGACGGGAAGCGCAUGCAAGCGGCCAUUCUUGAGGGAUGCGCCUCUCGGCUGAAUUCGCCGCUGUGAUGGAUGGCUCGGCAGCCGAUUUCGGGCCGAGACCCUCGGCAACGCCGGAGAAAAAUCUCGGUACCACCGAGGGAAAAAGGAAGAAAAACGAAAUCCGUGGGAGGAAUAUCACUUGGCUCAAACCGUGCACGCCUCAAAGCGCGCACCGUACACGAGCGUUUCGUCUGUGUUCCGUAUAUCGACUCGCUGGCGUACACUGUAGCGAGGAAGAGCGAUUGAUUCGAGAGAAUUGUAUCCCAUUGAUGCUAUGCGCUUUUUCUUAAACAGCAAGCGCACUUCUAGGACUAGCAAAUAAAAAAUAAUUGUUGGAUUAAGACUAAACGGCUUGAGUAUACGCGUCGCAACUACCAUUCCUGCACAUAUAACCCUAAUCAGGAAUAACUCCAGCGAAAGCUCGGCAUUCAGACCACUCCCAAGGAAGCUCGACAGUUCGUUGCAUUUUCACGAAACGCAGCUAGGUGCGCGCGCUAGUGUUGCGAGCUAUUCGUACACGUUUGCAAGUGCACUAUGAGAGGCGAAGGUGCCAAAUUGCGCGUGUGCCGUCAUCCGGCAGGGCUUCGUUCAGGUCCCUCAUCUUCGAAACCAAAAAGCGCCCAAUAUACCAGGCAGAUUGUAACGAUGAGAAUCAGUCCGCGUGCUUGAUGAACUCAACUGCAUCCACACAGCGUCCUGUCCGAAAUCGUAGCAGGCGUCAGGUGGAAGACGCCGAGGACUACUCAACGGACAGCAGGAGCAGCUGACGCUCGCAUAAUGGCUGCCAUCAACCAGGGCGGCGUGAGCGCGCACCGCAGCUGACGCCGCAGCGCAGACCAUGCGGAGCGAACAUCCCGCGCCUGGAGCCGUGACUCACGCCCGGCACGUGCUUGCCCGAAAUGAUACGGGCUCGAGGCGAAGGACGAUUCGCCGCAAAGGAAAGAAACGAUGACCACCACCUCCGGACCUAUUACACCAGCGAGCGAGAGCGGGAUUACACACGCCUACAUCCUCCGCAGGUGUUUGUUGCGGCCUCCCUGCAUAUAUAGAGAAGUGCGCAUACAUACGCCUACAUUUUGGCGGCGGGGCUCGGAUGAGAAAGGAACGCUGACUUGUCUUGCGCAACGCGGAGGACGCCGGAGGAUAUAUGGCCAUCCAUCUCCGCUCGCGCGGAUAGGUAUGCAUGCACCUGCCCCCCGUCCCUCACGUGUGACCGUGCCAAGCGCGCGCCCGCGCACGGAGACAAAAGGCCUCCGCGCGAUCGCUUAAGUGCGCGCAUUUACCAGCGUGCGCGCCGCGAUUGCGCGCGACCUUCCAACCUCGACAGUCGCCUCGUCGAUCCUCGCUGGCUUUCCCCCUCAUCGUCUGAGAAGAGGGGCCCAUUACGCCCCCGUCAGCAAGACGCGCACACCUUCCUAGAAGACCACCCGACGCCCGCGGCUUGGUGACUGUCGUCCAAGAGUUGCGCACUUCAGCCACAAACAUACACGCAUACCGCACGGUCCCACCGGAGAAGAUUAAAUAAUUCCCGGGUGGUGAAGUACGAAAGGCCCUCCCGAAGGAAUUCCGUGGCUCUCGCGGCAGUCAAGGCCACGUGAUGUCACGUGAUUGACGAGUUUGACGCACGCGAGCGACAAAGUAAGGGACCCGCACGAAAAACACUAAUUUGCGGUCCGUUGCGCAUUUAUACAGGGGGACACAAGCAAAUCGGCACGUGUGACAGAGAAUCGUGCCACAUGGGCAAACCGAAUACGGUAUAUGGCGUUGGUCAAGGCGAACGAAGAGUCACUACAGGACGCCCUUGCCACAGAAUUACGGCAGCCUAAAUGUGUGGAAAUGGAAGCAACUUAAAACGUGCACGAAGCUGGUUGCAGGCGAAGUCGAGCGUUUUGAGGACCUCUGAGGGACAAAGAAAGCAUGGGCCGAAUACACAUCCGGCAGUGCUCGUCCAAGUCUCUCGGGCUAUUAAGCGAUCACUUUCGGCACACAUUCCUGAGGAACUGGUUUCUAUUAUCAGAAUCGGAGAACGAUGUAACCACUAGUCCAGUUUUCUCCUUACAUCAAGCGCCUUAGAAAUGGAUAGGAUGGUCGAACCCUGUUCACGAGAAAUUGACAACGACGCUACUAAGUCCACGCAUUCUACGCGUACGAAGCCGCCAGAACAAACCAUACAUACUGGAGAGCGAAUGAAAAUGAAAAAAUAACAGCUUAUAACUUAUAGGACCGACUCGGUGCGCAACCCACGCAACAAAUCGCAAAACGCCUCCGCAGCAGUACAACGCGGUACACCUUGGCGCCACUUUGAUAAACGACCGAGGGGCCUAUUCGCACAAACGCGGACUGCCUCUUAUUCUUUUCGUACUUGCGCGAACUCACAUCAUUGAUAUGCAAGGGACGUAGCGGUACAAAGCGUCGUCAAUGUCAGCAAUGUGCCGCACCUUCUCGCGCGUUACAACAGCCUCAAGACACAAGCUGUUUCUUUUUUAUUAACAAAUUGCAAAUUAAGGUGCCACAAACGAGCAGCUACAACGUGUUGCCUUACAUAUCCUUGCGUGGCGGAUGAGCGAUGGUAGGAUUGCGCGCGCUCUAGCGGUAAACCAUGGCUCAAAACCAUCCUCGCUCCAUGACGCGGCCCUCGAUAACCGCUCAAUCACUUGACAGUUGUACAAAUAAGCUCACGAGCCUACCCAUACCUCUCGCGCAUUCGCUGCACGUCGAGACAAUGGCGAAGACGAAUUUGAGAUUAAGCCCCGCCACGAACAUCCGCGGCCUAUAGGCUCGAAAACGCGGCACGCUCAGGGCGUCCCUGCGACCGCCUAAUGGGUCGUCAUUACGGGUCCCCCGAACGACACAGCCUUGCCAACGACUAGCGGCGCCGGUCGGUACCGCUGCUGCGGCCGCAAGCUUUUCGCGUUAGCCUUAAUGCGCACGCGUAUUCACAACAGCCGCCUAUAUAGGGGAGCACGCCUACGCGGUGGCGCGGGUGCCUCGUGCAAACACUUUGGACAAACUGCGUGCUAUCGCCAGCAGCAAGAACAGUGUGCAGCCGGCAGAAGCAGCAAGAUGAGGGAUGCCGCCAUACAUCCCUGCACCCGGCCGAGCGCUUAAUAAAUGUGUGUGCGUCAAAGAUUAGGGAGGGUAACGAAUUAGCCAUCGACGCGAGAUAUAGUUAUGAUCACCGGUCGGUGGGGUGCUGCGAAAAUGAGUGAUGAACGCAUACGCCAAGUGCGUAUACACGCAGUGCUGCUGCAGCCGCCUAUACUGUAGGCGACAGAGCGGCGCGUAUAGCUGCGUUAAUGGACGGCAACUAGCGCGAUUAGUACUAAAAAUCGAGCUCAUGCAAUCGCCAGAACAGUUUUCAAGGCGACUUCAAUAGCAAAACGAAGGCAACUCACGCCAACGUUCGGUACUCUUACGAGCCGUGCCUGUAAAUUAUACGCGCGACCCUAGCCGUGAAUUUCACACCCCUGCCAACAAACAACACCAGCAGCGCCUGCUGUGGACAGCUCGCACUCGCGUGGCAACACGACCUCCGCGCAAUGCCACACCACCGCAGUGACGCACGCAACAGCGCGCCUCACGCCAUAACCGUCGCGCGGCGCAUCGGGUCCCGACAAUGGCGCGUCCAAGGCCUCCGGCAUUGGCCGGACAAUAGGAAGAGGAGGCCGACAACAAAAGGCGCGCACGGGAAGCGGCAUUCCGCGCCGGUGGCUUCGCAUGCCGCGCUCCGGAGCGACACGACGCGCGCGCAUGCGAGCACGGACGCGCCAACGCGCGCUGAAACGUGGGAGGGAGGGCGCUCGACGACGACGAUGAGACAAAAAGAAUGCCCUCCGGGCUUCGACGGCGCAGAGCGGACUUCUGACGCGUGUACACAUGAAUGGGCGGCAAGCGCCGCGACAACUUCAGCGCCAGCGAAAGGGGACGCACGUUACUAUACGUCGCUAACGAAGUGACUCGACUGCAGGCGCGAAGCAGUGGCUCUCAAACAACCCUCAAUUCGGUUUUCAACGGACGACACUGAACUGACCAUCGCAAGCGACAGGAAGCGCUUGCACGAAGGUUGCGACAGGCGCUCAGAGCGUGAAAUAGUUUCGACCUAAGUUGCAGAAAAGAGCGCAACAAAGGCAGAUGCCAGACUUAACGAACUGAGAAAUGAACAUUUGAACAAGCUGGCCUACGAGCUUAAUGCGGAGCGCAUAUUGCCUCACGAAAUUAGGCUUUCGAUCGUGCGAAGCAGUGUGCGCCGGCGGGCAAAAGAAGCGCCACGUGGAGCUAGCCGCGGCAUCUGCGGCCAUUCUCCGGGUUUUUCCCCGAAAGCGUCAGACUCGUGAGAGAGCGCCCUCGCUGCUGCUGGCCUGGGAAAACGUAGCAGGGGAGGGAAGGGGGGGACCCCGGUCGAUGCUCGCAUCCCUGUAGCGGGCCGAGCUCCCGACCUGGCGGCCGCCACCGCCACGCGCAAGGUAUUUUUGGGCAGCGCAAGGCGCGGGUGCUGCUUCGCGGUGCGUGUCACCCCGCGCGAAGCUCCCAUCCUGGAAAUGGCACCGUUGGGGGCUAGCGACCGCGAGGUGCGCGAACACCCGAUUCAGAGCGUCAGAGUGAGACUGUCGUUUCGGGCAGGAGGUACGCGACGUUCCCCCUCCUGAUGGGUGUAUACGUACGUCGUCGCAUACGCUGGCGUACAGAGCGGAGGCGCUUUUUUUUUUUUUUUUUUUUUUUUGCACCAGGCAGCACACUGCCACCUAGUGUGUGCUGCACAAGACUGAGAUCUUUACGAACCUUUUCGCAAACGCUAUUAUGAAGUAUGGCUGCUAGAAAUUUCUACUUCAUAGCUUGCCACGAACCAAUUAACGCGGGUCUGUUGCUCGACGAUUUAAAAUACAUUGGCACAGAACCAAGCGUACCAGUAUACGCAGCAGCGCACCGGUUUGGCUACAUUAUAGUGGGCGUAAGCUGGGGAGCUCCACCAAAGCUUCGAACCAUCAGUUAAGAGCGUUACAAACGCACCUCGCGUGCGAAGCCAGAGUUUCAGCCAUCAAACAACGCGCUUCCUGCCCCCGCUGCCACGCGAUGCGCCGAUACUUUCCGCGCGAAAACGGCCAUGGGUUCUUUUACGAGAGAGAGGAUGAGAGGGGGCAGCAGUGAAGCGCGUGGAGACGCAAGGGCCACGCUGAACGCCGUAAUGAUAAUCAAGGAAGUGGGGGGGACCCCACAGGUGAACGGGAGGAGGAAACCGAAACACCUGCCGCCGCUGUCGUCGGCUCCGAGAAAAGCCAGCCGUCGCCGACCAAUCGCGCGGGCGGGCGCGAGUGUGGCAACGCGCCGGCCAAAGCGAGCGGGCGAGUCAAAUCGUCGCGCACGAGGAACCUGCAAAAGCCCGCCUUCUGCUUCGCCAGCCGUUUCGCGAGGAAGAAAAAGACACCUGCGCUUGCUUGCAUAAUACGCGGGGGCCAAGGGGGAAAAGGCUUUUUUCUUUCAAGGCGACCUUUUGUCUCUCUUCACGCUGUGCUCAACCUCGCCUCGCGAGUGGAAGGAGCCGCACACACACGCACGCAUAAGUCUUCCGCUCAAGCGACGGGUAUAUACACUCGCUUGAGGCCGACCGUCAUGCGAGAGAAACUUUGGGAGGAGGCGCAGUUGUUCCUCCUCAAGCAGCAACGUUCCCUUCGUUAACCGCCGGAAGUGGACGUCCGUUGUCGACCCAUAAUCGCCGCAAUCUGUUGCCCUGUCCUGUCCUGUCACCGAGGCCACACCACCGGCCAUUAGGAGGCACCGUCGCAACUACCUGCGUCGGAGUACUGACGCGCAGACCCUACGACCCUGGGCCGCCCACGGGACGAACGGACACGCCGCGAAAACAAAAGCGCUGGUCCAUUGAGUCUUCCAAGGCCACGGAGUUCAAUUACUGCGAAAUUCGUGCCUCGACUUGAGGACAAACGACCGACCGAGCUAAUUGGAUGCGUUCAUUGAUUUGUGAUGUCUCCGGAUCGUGCAAGUGUAUCCUAUAUACUUGCAAUUGCCGCUGAAGCCGACAAUGGCAUCUUGCCCUCGGCGCUCGUGUCGUCCAACCUUGUGUCGAACUGAACGUCGGCGUUUCUCGCCACAGCAUAUUUACAAGGAAAGCUAUAAAGCAGUAUAUUUUGAAGCCGUUGACGCUUAUGACUAAGACCCAUGAAAGCGUGGAUCUUCGAACAAUACUCCUAGGCGUAUACCAGUUCUACGAUGUAGUAUAGAACAGCUCGUCAAUGCAGUAUAGCAGCACGGGCGCGCGCCUGCAGUUUUGAUGUCUGGUACAUCGCUCGCAGAGAUCUGCCCCGCGACCUAUGUCCGAGGUAUGUGCAACGUUGCGAAGUAAGCCGUAAUGUGACGCGUGUACGUAUCAAAUCUACGGGGAAACACGAUGCGUAACACAGUCAACAUUUCGUUGCCAUCGUUCAAGCUUCUGUAGUGCUACGCCUCGAUUAACAUCGGGCACCGAAAUACCAAAGCAAACCAGAAUCUGCCAGUCAGCUCGGAGGAAUGCUGGACAAAGUUCGCGGCAGCGGAGAGAGCGGUCACAAGGGCUUCUCAAGAACUGCGUGCAGCGUAGCCAAAGCUACGCUGCGUUAACGGGCUGCGUUAACCUAGGUACGACAGCCAGAAGGGCUCGACCACUGCGCAGUCGCUUGAUUACCUACGCUAAACGAAAACCAUGGAUCGAUUAGUGGAGUACAACGAAUGGGCAAGCCCUCAGUUUUCGGACCGGAAGCCAGUUAACGUGCCCCAUUGGUCGACACACAACCGCAGCUUUCGCAGCAAUGCACAGAGUUAUAGCGAGCCGGGGUGCAGACCGUGUUUGAAACGAUCCCAACCUUUGUUGCCAAAUACAGGCACCGCGCGUCGUGGCUCGUGGGGUAGUGUACGGCGUGAGCGUUCCGUGCCGCCUUCAUCAAGCCGCGAGAUCUUGCACGUACGUACACCCGCGCAACCCUCACGACGACUUGGUCGCCAACCCUCCUCGAUCCUACGGAACGUGCUAUUUUUUCUCUCCUCUUUUCGGCGUCGCUUCCGGCGCGGCUGUUGUCGGUUGCACCUGGCGCCCCGGAAGAUGCCGGGCCAUCGAGGGGGAAAAAAAGGGGCGUAUAUUUGGAAAGACGGUGCUGCGCCAAAGACGGACCGAGACCGGCCUACGCCUCUUCUCAUGCCAUUUCCGCGAAGGGCUUCGAAACGACAAGCUGUGUCGCUAUGUGGUUGCGCGAUUCGAGAGCUCUAGAGCUCGCAUUCGCUAUGGCGAAAGUCGGCACGAGAGAUUAAACUAGGGAGGUUACGAACCAGACGCAGAUGCACCGAUUAUCGCGUACGACAGUCUCAUGAUUUAGCGCACAUCAAGCGAAAAACGGCGGAGAAAAGGGCGACGACGAAAGAACAAGAUUGAUCUUGCAUUCCAUUAAUGAACGCCGUUUCGCAAUAAGUAUGGGCCCGAAGUCUCAGCAUACAAAAUACCGGACUGCCAGCCAAAGCGCGUGUACUUUUACUUAAUGCCUUCUCUCCUGGAUUCUGCUCCGGAUCAACGUUCUUGCUCCACUUCCUGACUAUUACGGCGAGUGUGCAAGCGCCUCUGAAAUAUAAACAAGCGCACGCAGAAACGCGCCGACUAAUCAGGCAACUUGACACUCACAGGCGCGCGCGCGCGCGCAGCUUCGCCCCCAUAGCAACCCUAGCAACAACAGCAACCCCCCAAAAAAAGUUGCAGGGCGUUCCCUUUCGGCGAACGACGAGUCCGAACUCGCCAGAGAAGACGUCAACAAAGGCGCUGCAUUGAGCAAUUCGCCGCUCGUAGUGGGAGGUCCGGCGCGCGCGCGGCCCUAGUGGAAAUAGGGAGAGGGGGGGGGGGGGGGGGGGAGCGAGGGCACGCUUUUUUACGAGUGAGCACGUACGGGUACAUAGAGAACAACGAAAGAGGCUCCGCGAGAGACAGAAAAACACGCUCUUCCUUCCGGGAGACGAUCCUAUAGCACAAGCAACUGACUACACGCGCCGCGCUAGCUGCGCAACGGCGAAGAAGCCGGCCGCCGCGCCGACUUUGAGCAAAGAGCAGCAUUAAUAAAUUUCCAGCCUUCCCCCCAUAAGCGUCUCGUAGGCGCCGCAGUUCCGCAAUGAUGCUGCGAUCCGCGUGACUCAGCUCCUUCGACCCACGAGUGGAGAGAGAGAGCGUACACGCGCAAACGGGCGUCUCCUCCUCAAACGCAGCACGUAUUUCUGGUAGUGACGCAACGGGGAGCGCGCGCGAGUCCGCGAGUGCGGAGGAGAGAGAUGCGGAGGCGGCGGCGCCCGAGACCGCCGCAGCAUCUCUCCUAACCUUGCUCCUCCGUCAUCCCGAGCCGUCCGCGCCCCCCGAGAAAGCACAACUCAUGCCAGAGUUUCGCCAAACCGAUGUGCAACGGUAAUGGUGCCUUGGAACCGAUCUCGGCGAGGUCGUGUAUCUUUUUGCAUCGAAGAAAGGGUAAAGUUGCGUGAAAGAAGCUGCUGAAAAAAUGAGGCGCGCGCGCGGAAGAAACAGCGUCGUGCAUAGGACUGUGUUACAAGGCAAGCUACGUGAAUGGAAGUUGUGGUUUAUCAGCAAAAGCGUAUGUCAUGGCCUGUUGUCCCUGCCUGAUCACAACUAGGUCUUCCAUUUACGUUUACCUCCCAGUACUUUAUGGCUAAACAAACUGGAAGUGCACUACAGUGCAAUGAAACACCGUAGAAACACAGAAAACGGCCCCGAAAGAAAAGACAAGGAAGUGUACACAUUGCUCCACGGCACUAUAUACUCUCGUACACCUUGCGGCACCAUUAGCGUGGAACGCCGAGUAUAAGCGUAUACCUGGCGACCAUUCACCGACGGAAUACCAUUACAUCCCCGAGCAAGGAAAAGAACCGACUACACAACGAUGCGUAUAGUGCGCUGCGCGUCCGUUUUCGGAAAGGCGACGCUGAUACACAUCGCUGCAGACGGCAUCGACGAUUCGCGAACUACUGACGGGCGCAAGGAGGCGCGGGACAGAGCAAAACAAACAAACAAAGCCAGCGGUGUCGCUCGCCGGCACCCGUGAGUGGGACGUCCCUUCUUGCACGAACAGCGAUGCGAAAAAAAAAAAAAGAAAGAAAAGCGAGGUCUCGCUAUUACGUCUGCCCGUACGCAGCAAGGCUACACCACUAUUCCUCCGGUGUCAUCACGCAGAGGCGUACACAGUCCUCGAAACGCAAGAAUGAACACGAGUGAGACGGAGAGGGGGAGAAAUGCCGGCCUGCAAGAAACAAACAAACUGAACAAGUGUUUCUUCGCAUGGCCGAGAAAACGAUCUCCAAGACGAGCACGCCAGUGAACGAACGCCGCCGCAAGCACGACGUCCGUUCACACGCACGCACGCCAAGGACCAGCAGGGCACGGAAGGGAAGCGCCCAGCUGCGAGGCACGAGAGAAGCAGGCUUUCACCAACACCGUGCAGAGAUGAUGGAGAGAAAGUGCACACACACGUACACGCACGGAAGAAAGCAUGGAAGGACGAGCAACGGCGCGGAACGAAGACAAUGCUGCUAGGCAGUAACCCCCCCCUCCCAUGUCAUCCUCUCCCGUACUGUAAGCGCCGCGCUCAGUUUCCAGGCCCCAGCCUUUAGACGAACGAGCGAGGAGUUCGUAGCACUAAUUUCUAACGAGCGCGGCCGCGCGCGCAUGCACGGAGGAGAGCGCAAAACAAUGGGCUCCGCGACGCCAGAUGGGAGAUGGCGCACGCUAAGGGAGAGGGGAAGGCAGAGGAUGGGCUGAGGGUUGAAGCGCAGAGCUGCGUCGUCAUCCGUGGAGUAGGGCUCGCGAAGAAUUGCUAGUCGAAUUACGCCGCGUUUUCGGAGAACAAGAAUGGCGGGAGAGAGGAGAAACGGAGCGGGGGGAGAUGGAAGAUUAGGGAAAAUCAAGAAGAUGAAAGGCGCGAAGGAAACGAAAGAAAAGAACGUCUGAAACGCAGAAGACGAAAUGACAUCCCCAGCUGACACGGUUCAAGGAGAACGGGGCAGAGGGGAGCGACACGAUCAAGAUUAACCUUUCCUCCUCCUCCCACCUUCGGCGGCCAUCUCCUUGGACCCAUUCAAGAAAGACAAUAAGAAUGCACCGUCGCUUAUUAGGGCCAUUAAAGCGGCCGGAGAGAAAAGUGGCAACCGCUGUAGCGAGGGGGCCCCUUUAAGACAAAGGGACUACGCGCACUGAAGCGCGCGGUCCGAGAGAGAGAGAGAGAAAAAAAAAAAGCACACGUGAAAGCAAGACAAGCGGGUUAUAAUGACGACGGACGUGAACGUAAAUUCACGUCGCGCUCUACGCACACACUGACCGUGCGGGUCUUAUGGCGGUGCACGCACGGCAGUGCUAUCGCGUCCUUUCAGGUCUCUCCAUUGAAGGAAGUGCGGCACUGUGUAUACGGUCGUGCAGAGCAGCGGCCGACUGCGCCAUUCAUGCAGAUGGAGUCCCUUCGGUUGAACGCGAGGCGUACUCGUUCACACGGAACGCGGUGCGCACAUUGGAAAGAACAGAUGUAUAUACACGCUACGCGAGUUCCCACUGUUUACAGCAAUGACGCGGUCCACUAUACGCGCCAAAGGUAUAUGCAGGUCACAUCAAGCGUGAUGGUAUACCUAUUGCAACGGCGAUUGGUUGAAGCUCCCUGUAGUACUAUACGUGGCGUAUACAAAGUUCUAGAUAGUGAAGGCAUUCUCUCGGCCAUCACAUUUUAACAAUAUAUUUGCCGGAAGUUACGUUAGGGCCCCUACACUCGCCAGCGACUCCUGCAAACUAGAGAUUUACUACACUGUGGUUACAUUUAGCAAUGACUGGAAGUCCGUUAUUUCGCAAGAAGAUACCAUUAAAUAAACGUGUUUCCGCGCCGCGCACCGUGGUUUUAUUUGGCAAGUUGAAAGUUUGCGUCGCCCCAAAAUUCUCCGGCGGUAAUUCAAACGAAGGUCCCGAGCACAGGUGAAAGCUCCGUGCUGCCCUAACGAGGCGGCUGGCAGAUUUGACUUCAGAGAACAUGCGCAGAACAGCAGCAGCAGCACUAAAGUGCAUAAUUUCGGGGAAAGCCACCCAGAUAUUCGCCUCAAAAACGAGCAGGAACGCUGCAGGAGAGAAAAAUAAGUUCUCGGCUAAACUCCCGCGGCAUGCAGCAGGCAAGGCUCGAGCCAAGGCGUGAAUUAUAAAUGGGGAGCGCGCGGGCGUCGGGCAAACGAGAUAACGCGCGCGCGCAGCUAGGCGACGACGGUUUCUGCGCACUCUUUUCUUACCUGCCUUCCGUACGCGAAAAGCUAUAUAACGCGAGCAACGGUGGGAUGAUGAGACGAACCGCGGCUGAGCAUACGCAAGUAGGCGUCGUCGGUUGAGCGAGUGGUGCGAGAUGGGGGGAGAACGCGAGCGCGCGGCGCUUAUACGGCUGCGGUUGGCCCCGUAAUUUGAUUUGGGGAUCCCAGCGCAGUGGCGACUUCGUUUUCGGCAUCGCUUCGUCGACGGAGCUUUCUGGGGGCCGCGGCUGAUACGUGCGCGGCACGAAAACGCUCGUGCCCCGGGCGCUGUGCAUAAGGAGGUGGUGCUGAAAGAGAAUGAGGGGGGGGGGGGGGGGUAUAGUCAAGGUGCUUAGAUUAGCACGAAGCUAGCCACGAAAUGAAUUGGCGCUGGAAAUGAAUUGCGUCGUACAGAGGAGGAGAACCACGCGAAGCCCCGGGCUAUAGAGCCAAGAAUCCCCACCGCGUUUCUUUACACGUUGGCGUUCGAAGACCGACUUUGCGGGGAAGAUGAGAAGAAGCGAUGAUGGACGACUUUGGUAUACUGAAAGCGACUAAGAGGUCUUUGUCACGAUAUGCGUAAAAUGAAUUAAGAAAAUUCCCCAGAAUUCAACACGCUGAGUGAUGUAUAGACAUUCCAACGCGAACGCACAUUCAAGUGUGGCCAGCCAUGUACAUGCAACAAGACGCCGUGGUAGCAGUGUCGCAAGAUUAGCAAUGGCUGCAUUAACAGCUAAGAAAUACGCAAUGAUGCUGGUGAACCGAGAACAAAACGUUUUUGUUUCUCAACCGGACAGACGGCAGCCACCGAUGAUCCUAGUUGCACUUACGUGCUAUAUAUAGAUCGACCACGAGAUGCUUGCAAAGAAGUACAGUGUGUCCCAGGCAACUCACUGGCGUGUUUAUCUGUGUAUAUCUCGUUUUAUUUCGCUCACAAUAGGAACGCCUCAUCAAUGGAAUGCCACGGGUUGGUGAUGUUGAAGACGGGGAGCAACAAGGUAACAAUUUGCUCAGCCACUUCAUCACAAUCCGGGUUAACGGCACUCGAAUUCAGUCCCACUGAAAACGCGUACGAUGCCGUCUAGUCCAGGCAGUUUACUCCGAAAAAAAAAAAUUCAGGCCAUAGCUAUUAUCGCGAGGCUGAAACACGAGGCACGCGAGUUUAGAACUAUGACAGCGAGUACAUAAAAUAUAGCGUAUACAUGGGUAAUGCAUAAACGAUUCGCACUAGCGGCGUAUUUACCACGUAAUCAACGCAGAACCGAAGUGGGUAUCGAAAUAUUUACGCGAUAACAACAGGCCCUAGAAUGUUCUCGCAAAUGUUCCAGUCGCUUCCCGAGGUACUCCAUGAACAAAGAGGCUCGCUCACUUCGCCAGCCCGAACGUUCUCCCAGAGAACGACACACAACGGGUCGUAGACUUCCGAGAGCUGCGCGCGAUGUAAAGGGCGGGACUCGAGCUUGCAUUCACGCCUCAGAGCGGAGGCUAACUGUGUCCCUAAUAACUAAUAAGGCAAGAUUUAAUGCCGCAUUAUGAAUGCGUGUACGCCGCGAUAGGAGCCCGCCCGACGCCUACGAACGUCCCUCAUCCGAAGCAGCGUCCGUGUCUCGCAUCGGCGUCGCUUGACCUCACUCUGCACCGACGCCGCGGCAGGAUCAAGGGAGCCACGUACAAGAUGAAGAAGGAAGGUGCCACGCCCUGGAAUACACACAACGCCGCCGACACAACCACGGCGACGCACAAUAGUCCCGUGAAGCAGAAAGCGCCAGGGAUAUGGACGACUGGCGCGCGACAACGGCUGCGCCGCGGUUCACCACGCCGACACUGCCGAAAAGAAAACGCACGCGCGGUGUUUCGGAACCAGCUAAGCGGGAAGGGCGUGUUGGGAAUUUAAUUUCUAGCGACGACUCCACGGGCCAAAACAGGCUAAGGUGGGAUCGUGUAGACAGGGAGACACCGAACUCGCAUCCCGGACCGCAUACAGUACACAAUAUAUAUAUACGGUCCCAACGGACCGUGUUUCGUGCCCUGGCGUGGCUCGCGGUGGAGUAUCGCGUGAAGUUUAGACGAACUUUGGGAACGUGGUUGAGAGCUCUAGAGUGUCAUGCUUCCUUGAAACAGCGGUACAGAGUUCUUGCUCCACGCAUAAAGGCCACUUUUUCUUCGCAACACCGAAAACCCCCCUCCUUACAUACGCGUCUCCAGUAUCAUCAAUUAGCAAUUACGGAGCGUUACCGAACGAAUAUGGCGGUUCGUAUCUUGGUAGUCUUCUAGCAGAAACAUGGCGCACCGGAAAGUCGCGAUGUGCGUGGAGCCAGCUCGAGAAAACCCUCAGGCGCAUACGUUAGAAACACGGACGUGCGCGCGUUCCCCGGAGAACCGACGCCAGCGCCUGCAGGCACCGGCGCACAUAUACGCACGUAAACAAAAACCUUCCGAGAGACUGACGCGGCACAGCAGCAGCUGGACGACGUGCUCCCAAGCAGCCCAAGCCAUGGGUGGAAAGAAAAACAGGGCGAGGAAAAAAAAAAAAAAAAAGAAAGCCUGAGAGGAGAACGCGGAAGCGCACGCACCGCAGGAGAUGCAGCUGCCGCGCUGCUGGCCCCGUCACGGACUGCUCGGUCAGCUAUAUACGAUCCUGGCAAGCGAAGAUGGCGGAGGCUCCAUCGCCGCUUCUAUUUCCACACAUAAGUUAACAGAGAUAAGUCGGCUGGCCUGUUCCACGCAGCACCAUCAAGCGAGAGUUGAGAAAUGUUUCUGCGUUAAUGAUCAAAAUCUAACAGGGAUUAGAAGUAUACCAAAUAUUAACGGACGAUAUUGCGUAUAAAACAACCUAAACGGUUUCUAGAGUAUGCAACGCCAGUUGCGUCUGCCAUGUUUCCCCAAGUUUUUUUUUUUUCCCAAUAUUUCCUUCGGCGGGCUUGUCUUGCAUGGCUUGAUUCGUUAUUUAGAACAUAUAAUGGCGUUGUAAACCUCACGAUAAGGGCCCGAACACUAAUUGCGUAGCACUAGCUGAGUAACAGUGAAUUACCGGGACCACGAUGGUGCAAAUACAGCAGAAACGGAAUUAACUCCGAGUCAGCUACCGCUGGCGGAAGCGUUCGAAACGUAUAAUGAAGAAAUUAUUCACGUCGCGAAACAGUCUGCGGCUUCGCCCUGCAUAUACGAUUACACGGGGUACCUGUAACUGCAACUUCGGUGAGCCGCGCAUCUCUUGCUGCGGCUUGUCCGUUCCCAAACACGGCGCCUGAAUGUCAAAGCUCCCCGAGCGCUUCGCCGAACCCCGAAAUGCCUACAGUUGCUUCUGAUACUUCCCACGAUAGACUGUUCGGGAAAUAAAUGCACAAGAACCUUGCCGAGGUCGUCGUUUCCGUCGCGCAAUCGACGCUGCUGGCGGCGACAGCAGCAAUGAAGAAAGCUCGGAAGAAGAGAUGACCUCCGCACGUAUUACCACCGCGCGAUAAAAGCGGCGUUCGCAGUAGCUGCGCUAAGCCCAGUUGUCGGUCAACAUCAAGGUCUCAGAUGAACGUAUAUAUACGGUGUCUCCCAGCAUCUAUUCGCCGCUGGGAGAAGACGUGACGCGGGGUGAAGAUUCUCAUCACGUAGCUGCCAGUCGAGAAGCCACGCCGAAGCCAAAAAACAAAAACAAAAAAAAAAAAACAAUUUUUUUAAUCAGGAAAAAAAAAAAGGAACAGCAAUGGCUGUUAAUGGCUUCUGAACACGUGCGCUUGUUCUGGAGCACAAAGGCCCGAAAGUAAAGGAACUAAAGACAAAAAAAAAACUGUUUGCUGCGGUCUUCCUAUACCACGUCAUCGAAGACAAAUGUAUCGUGGUUAUCUUCGUUAAGUCCGCUAGGCCGUUAAUAGAAGGUAUGAAGAAGAAAAAAAGUCACAAAACUAACACAUAGCACAGGCACCCUACCCCAGGAGGGGGGGCAGCCAACAGUUCACGUCUACGCGCUCAUGCAGUUUCGUUUUUUUUUUUUCUCUCUCUCUCUUUUUAUUCCAGAGAGGCGUUAUUUCAUGAACGAAACACUGAAACAGCAACGGCGAACCCACAAAUGAAAACGGACGAAAGGAAAGAAAAAGAAGGAACCCGCAUCCGCGCAGGGCCCACGGCGCCAUAUCCCACCACCCCUGCGCGCCCUCAUUUUCCGGCGUUCCUCCUCGCCGCCGCUUCUAUUUCCACGCCGGGGCCGUCACGCCCGUCGGAAGCAGCGCUCUUCCUGUUUCCGGUCCGUGCCAGGGAGGACCAGCGCACAAGUCUCGCCCCAACAGCGACGGUCGGCUGGUCGGUCGGUCCGGAGCGGCCGGAGCUUCUUCGCAAGUCAGCGCAUACGCGAAGCUCAUAUUCGAACAAGUGCCGCUUUCUGCCAGCGCUGGUAAAGCAAAUAACUCUGGAAUCGGACUUGAGUUGACAAUAUAGCAUCUAUCCAGCAGUAGUGCUUGACGUCUGACGCGGUAAGUUCGCAGAGUACCAAUAAUUAGGGAGUUUCAGAAGUACAGCGAACCCAAAGCUGGCGGAAGCUAAGAUUUCAGACAAAAUGAGCGCAGUCAAAAUAUCGUCGCCAGUAGCGGACAUUCGCACUACCCAACGUAAGGCUUAGUACAGGGUGGGAUGGUGCAGCAAAAUUAAUCAGAAACGCGAUGUAAUAGUGGAUAGGACAAAUGAUGCCUUUUUCCUGUCCACUUUUACAUUUCGUUUCUGAUUAACUUUGCUAAUGGUUCCCACCCUGUACGAUGAACCAACUCGCUGCGAAAACUAAUGAAUUCGGGUCCUUGCUCGGUUUGCUCGCUAUAGCAUUGGGUUUAGCAUUUCUUAAACUACCUUAGCUCAGAGCCUCGACUGGGGCCGCGACCGGAGUUGUGGCCCCGAGUACAAUCCACGGAUCAUUAAUUUUUAAACUGCGAAGCUUUGCGAGAAACCCAUGAGGGUUUCCUCCGUAGAUUCGUGUUAUAGUCGGGUGGAUGACAAUUUAUACUUCUGAUGAACUGCCACGUUGGUUGCAGAGGAAGUAGGUGAGAACUCAGUGAAGAAUUGAAAAGCUACUGCAGAACUGUCACCCCGCAAACGGUUUUCCGUGUAGAUACAGGUCAAACUUUUAUGAAUGACAGUUCACCUCCGCAUACUUUUGCAGCUCAUACAGAUAUAAAGGGGCGAACAAUUCUUGGCACGAAGGAAAAUAACGACCAGGUGGGGGGAAAAGGCGACCGGAAAUAGCAACAACGUCCGGAGGAUAGAAGCCAAAUGGCCCGGCCGACACUGUCCGAGACAGUUGAAAAAUUCAUCGGUGCAACCUGGAAGCGUAUAUGAGCACAGGAAAGGAAUUUAAAGAAAGCGUGCAAGCUAAGGCUCAGUGGCUAGCUACACGCAGGAACCAACAAGUAAAAGCAAGCCACGAGGGCUGCGUUCCCAAAGGACGGUGCAUAGCUGCUCGGGGUGGGAGGGUCGAUCCGGCGUCGACCACAAGCGCGAAGACGGGGGCGGAAGGAAGAGAUCCGGGCUCUUUACGACCGCUGCGGCAGGACGGUCACGAGGUGCCACCACCGCGUCCGAGUCGGGCCUGCCCGCUGGCGAUGACCUGCGCCCAUCCACCGUUACGACCGGUCACCGGAACUUCGCCGAAGGGGGAUGGUCGGGAACCCCGCGGUGUCCAAGCGGUGUCCAACCACCGCGGUGUGCCAAUGCGGCCUAGCAGAAGCACGCAGGCUGCGUGCUGCCUAUGAUGAUGAAUUUGGCGUUUUGCGGCGUAAGGGUCAAGUAUGGCCAAAGAGCGCCAAGCUACAGUGUUAAUGAGUUGGCAAUGUAGCGAUUAAUUACGAGAGGUAGACGUAACGUGGCUGUAUAGGGGCCCUAAACAAGUCACUGUAGAAAUGCGUAAAAUGUACUAUCGACCAAAAAAAAAAAAGUUUACGCACCAAGGGAUCUGUCAAAAGGGGGAAUAUCUCCGCAGCCUCGUCGUGAAGAUAAGUUUCGAGCCUGCCCACUGUGUAAAUAAGCGAUAUUGUAUGCAUAACACUUCACGGUGUCUCGAAAAAAAAAAAAAGAAAGAAAAAACAGCAGCUCGGGAAAGUACGCGAUCCCGAAGAGUGUCGACAACGUUUUACGUCAGGACAAACCGGCGCUUUAGACGUAUACCACAGAGAAUGCGCGGCGCAGCGUUACGACGCAUUCGCGAUAGAAAAGAUAUCGCGGCGGUACAAAUCGCAUCCGCAAUCCAUAUUCGAGAGCAAACCAAACGCCGGGACGAGCGUUCGUCUGGCCGCUCGUUUCACACGCCGCGUACACACCGCAGAGCGGAAGAGCGACGGGAAGGGAGAGGCGAGAGUGCAUUUGCAUCGCGAAGCCUCCGUAUGCAAAUGACGCUUCCACUUAGCCCCUGCUCAUGAUUAAACAAGCGAUGCACCCCGCCAACGCAGCGAGCACUGCAGGACGCCGCGGAGCAAGAGGACGAGAAAGAGUCGCGGGCCGUUAUAUCCGCCGCGAGCCGGGACAGAAUGCGAGAGGAAGGGGAGGGGGGUAUGCAGCAGUUUGAACACGCGGGAUUGAACGGAGGAGGAGGAGAGGGAAAGACGAGCAUCCCCCCCAUUCUCUACUUUCUAUUUUUCAAAUUGCGUUCGCCUAGAAGGCCGAGAGAAAGGAAGGGGAGGAAGAGCAAUGCGUCUCACUACUCCGCGCGCGCAGCGAAGACAUGCAACCGCCGCGACGACGUCGAGAACGCAAAAACGAUGCGAUCAUCCAGAAUAAGCAGCGAGGCAGAGGGGAAGGAGGCUGCGGAAACACGACACCGAGAAAGAGGAUGCAAAUUGCGGGAGGGCAUCUCCCGCACUGCGACGCUGACUGCGGCCGCCGCCACCAGACACUUCGCUCUUCUCGUCGGUCGGGGUUCGCGAGGAGCUCGGAAACCCAGGAAGACACCACGCGCCCGUGCACAGCAAUGGCCGAGAGAGACGCUCCGCGGCCGUGACUCCGCAAACUGACGCUGGGAACGAAACUGUACGGAGCGCACACAAAAAUGAAAACGCCAGCCAACCGCGAGCGAGCGCCACACGAGCUCGGCGAUUACGUCCCGGUGAUUUACGGACCUCCCCUGCCGAGUUUAUGGCUCGCACUGCAUGCGUCGUGCCCUUACCCGCCUCUUUCCUGAGGAUCGUUCUGCCUCCUCACCCCGGUGUUCGCAGUGCCUUCGCUUACCCCUGGCCCACUAUACAGCCUGCGAGUUUCACAUGUGUGUAUGCGCGCGCAGUGCACCAAACAAGACGUGCACUUGUGUCGGCUUGUUAUAAGCUCUGCAGGGAUCACAGUGAACGCCGGGCACCGCAGAUGUUAGCUCUGCCAGUAAAGAAAGCACAUAUAUAGGGGGUAAAGAGUCCGCAAUUCCUGUUCGCACGGCGCGAAGUUCUGCGCCGCCCAUAGCGUGCCUUGGUACAUGGCGUAUGCUGUGCGAUGCGUUUAAGUUCUCGCGACACGCCAUGCCCGCUGAUCGAGGGUCUUCUGAAUUAAACCGAACAGGUGAGAGGCAUCUCAAACCUCGAAAAAGCACGAUUCUCGACAAGACCCUUAGCAACUGAACACAAUGUAAAGAGGAGAGCGCACAGCGAGGCUUACACCCCAAGACCGCGAACCCUACGAGAAGUUGAAAUACCCUGGGAAACCAACAAUGCCUCAAACAAUGAGCAGACCAGAGCUGCGAACGUCUGCGAGCACAGGCCGGCGAUGUUAUAGAGAAGCGGCGCUGCCCUCGUGCGACAUCCAACCCGCGCGUCCCCUUAUUGUGCCGGCCGUUAUACAAGGGCCGUCGUACCCUGCGCGUCGUGGGCGUCAUCCUGGGAAUCCGCGUCAUCCUGGGAACCCCGCGACGACCAAAUUCUCAAACCAUUAAGGGCGUGAGCGCUCCGCGGCGAACCGCAGGGCCGCGCACAUCACAGGCGAGCCGAGCGCGGUGGAAAGUGCUGCGUGCGCGCUUCUGCCGCAGGCUGCGCGCAGCUCUGGUGCCUGCAUGCUUGCAGGGCGCCGCGCGUGAACGAUCGACAUGCCAGCGAGCCAGCCAGCCUCCCCCCGUGAACGCACGGGCCAGCAGCAUGCAGGACGGGUUGCAGCGCGCCUGCUGGGUCACGUGAGCCGGAAUUCUUGGAAGGCGCAGGCAGGCACCCAUCGCUGGCCCGCCGUAAUAAGGGAUCAUGCGGAGGUAUAUACGGUGGGAAAGGGUCUCGUCGCUACGCUGACGCCAGCUCCUGGUGGAGUAAUGGGGGGUUACGGCGAGAAUGUCCACAUGCACACCACAACAGUAUAGUAGCACUCCGAAAGGUGAACGCGUGCUAUCCGUAUAAACGUGCGCAAGUCGUCAAUAUGGAGUUUUAGAUUUUCCGCACCCAAAGGGACGCCGACCGCCGGGAUAAACAAACAAAAGAAAGAAACGAAAAACAAACGCGGAAAGUUACACAAAAGAACGCAAGCAUGGCGUGGCGUUUUGAGUACGCAACGAUGCUUGGGUGCGUUAUUUUUAACAGUUGCAACGCGAUCACCAACGAGCUUUCAAUAAGGCCCGAGGGUAACCAGAUGUGAACCACCGCUUGUCAGUAUGCAAGUACGAUUGUUGCCUAAAACAUCAACUUUCCUUAUUAGCUCACUACGUAACAAGGCGCGUAUCACUGCGCAAGAAGCGUUUCCCACGGUAUGAACGCAUGCGCAACAACGUCCGAUUCGAGAUUGGCAGUCGAGGGGGGGUCCCUCUAGGCGUGACGAGGACAAACGAGGCGCAACGGGCGGCGAAACCAGAGCUCGCAGCAUUUCGCACAUGUCACAAGCUGUACACACGCGUUAUACGCACAUACGCGAAAGGUGCGUUGCACCGUCGGGGUCGGGACACAAUCGAAAAACAACGAAGCCGCGUUUAACCACGCCCGUAAACAGAACGCGAGCAGACACGCGAUCACGAAAAACAGCUGUGCGAAAACGCGCUCGCGUCGCAUGCAAGCUGGGGAAACAACGCGUGGCGGCGGCUGCGUACACAUCCGAACCGAGCAGUUGGCUGCUAUAUAGGCGGGAUAUGGCAGGAGCAAGCAGCCACUGUGGAUAGCCGAGUGGUAUACAUGAGAAUGGGAGGCAACAGCGGAACCUCUGCAUUUCUGCGCCAAUCCGAAUUUUCCCGCGAUCGUUUUUAAGUUUCAGUGAUUCAUCGCCGAGAGAGAUGGAUAGGGAUAGUGGCACGAGCGGGGCGAAAUCGUUGCAGUAUGUUCACUUUCGGUCUUGAGUUGAACUGUGAAUACGCAAAUUGGAGAUGCACACGUUCGUGGUAAACGGACGCAGGCAUCCGAAUAUUUCCGCAACCUGGAAUUAGAGGACUGCCAGGCUGCACUAUACCUGCGCGAACAACGUGGUGUUGUACGGCUUUAUUGGUCACGGCCACAAAACUGGUGAAAUGUAACGUUCUCUCAUAUCGCGCGGGUCCAGUCAAACGAGCCUCUCCGACGUUGCAAAUGUGCAGUAUAUACUGCAUAUUUGCAACGUCGGAGAGGCUCGCGCAGACCGUUAACAAAAUGUCGGAAAGUUUCGUGCGGCAUUGCCAGCAGCACGGCAUCACAGGCGACAAGGAAACCUAAACCACGCCGGUUACGAGACCGUUUUCGUCUCGUUAGCGCGGCACACAAUGAGACGCUGUCAGGAAAUGCGUCGCUGAAAAAAAGACUCAAGGCGCGGCCGCCGAAGUGCCGUAGAGAUUUGCGCUGCCGCCAAACACAGGGACGUUGCGCCAACCGGAUGUCCGACUGACAUCGCCGCGGCUUGCCAGCUGACUCUCCUCUUGCAGUGUAAAUGCGAGUCAGCAGGGCGCUGUGCAACACACAAAAUUAAAAUCGGCACUGCACACACGCACAGUGAAGGCGGCUUCCGCCGAUGAAUCAGUGCCUAUACGGCGAAUGCUUUCGUGUCUGAUAAAUAGUGCGGUCGCGUGCCCCGGCUGGGGAAUUGGCCGCGAGAUCAAAGGAACCUGCGGAAAGCAACGAGUGUAAGUUGCAAGCUAGAUGCGCGAUCCGCGUGACUUACUGCAUGAAAAAUGUCGACAGAGUGGAGUGUGCGUAUACGGAAAUGAUUUCUAACCGACUGGAAAGCGAGAAAAAGCUUCAGUGGCAAAAAGCAAAUGAAGAGAAACAUGAAACCGUAAGCUUGUAACAGCGCUUUGGGAAGCACCUAAGGCCAGCACGAAUGUGCGCAGAGAGCUACGUAGUGUACGUUCAAUGCCUUCCGCAAGGGGCGUGGGGGGAGUGGACAGACACAAACAAUACGAUGUAUAUCGCAGAAAAAUGAAUCGCCACGAAUUUUCCCUCUCAAAGGUGGUGUGCAGGGUUGCGAAACUACCGCUACAGCACAGUAAUAGCUUGAAGUGCAGAAACGUCUCGAAGAAAAAAAAAUAAAAAAAGACGGAUACAAGCUGCUGCACGAAGGAAUGCACCUGCGCGCACAGCAAUCACUUCCCUCGGGAGCAUGCAGGGCGAAGCCCGGCAUCUCGCCCGAGGGUCGGGAGGUGAACGACCGUGUGAGGCUGCGGACCUGCCAACGGCUGAAUUACCGCUCGCGUGCAAGAAAAAACUGAGCUGCAACAGCUGCUCAGCAGCGCCGCUCAGUUGCGAUACGAAUUGGCGAGCAGAGACCGAGGAAACUGGAGAACCUGAAACCAAGAUUUCGCCACCCCACGUUGCUGUGACAGCGACAAAUAGCCAAGAAACUAAUGACGGUGACGACACGGCAAGGAGAUCUCACUCUAUCUGGCCGGACUUCGUUCCUAAGCAACCCGUGACGGCACCUAUACGCUUUACCACGAUUUUGUUUUUCGAAUGCACAUCUCGCAGCUUGUGACGCAACCAGCAUAACGAAGGCAAAACAGGCCCUCGCGAUUCUGCCCGCCCCAAUGAAGUUAUAACAACUUUCACAAAUACCUGUCACAUUGAACGUACGCACUAAGCUAUAGCAUUCAGGCACAGGCUCAAGAAACACGCAAUGUUCCGCACGAUUUCUCUCCCGCUCGGAAGCCCACGUUUUCCCACUUGAGCCAAGAGAGCCCCCCACCGGAUAAUUGUCAGUCGCACUCGCAUAACGAAAACCUCAAGACAAAAACUGCCGCUAGAGGCCUACUUAUCACUGGCGCCAAAAGCGCCACCAUAAAGCGGCUACAUCCGGAGCUGCCGUCGCAACAGAGCAACUGGCCGCAAGCGCGACAGGCUCGCCGUGUAAUUCACCUUGAAGGCAGCCAGCCGCAGCGCCGGCACGAAAACUGCCCUGCAGCAACGCCAGGGUAUAAAAACCUGCUCGGUAAACGAACCGCGCGCGAGCAUUGGAAAGCAACCGCAUAUAGAUACGAACUCUGCGUAUCCGCACGCAGAACUUCGAGAUCUCCGAUCGGAGCCGCCAAGUCCUUUGGGCAAAAAGCUCUCGGAAUCGAGAACCCAAGGUCUCGCGCGCCACCCGAACACUGCCCUCGGGCCCUUUCGCACGGCCUUCUUUCGCGCUGUGCUCGAUCGGGCCCCGACGCGGCUUUUUUUUUUGCUACGAUUACCGAGCUUUUCAUUCGCAUAAGCAGGCAACGCGCCAGCGGUUCCGGACAGGCCAGGUCAGCGGUAGAAAACGCUUCGAGCUGGCUUCCUCCAUUACACAGUGGGGAUAAGACGAGCGCGUGGAGUCCUUAAACGAAGUGUCGACUUUAUUUAUAGGCACUACAUUGAUGUCGACGCAUGGCGAAACACUCGAGGAGCCAAGACUGGCUUUGCCACGGCUCGUCAAAGCGAUGCCGCGCUCUCGAAUCCAGUCAGCGACAGCGGUCGCGGCCCUAAUCAUUAUAGGCUGACGCAACAGCGCCGCAAGUGGCGGUAACCAAACGAAGACGUAUUUUGCGCGACAAUUAGGUUACAGCGUAUACGUGUAAUAAGAACGAAGCAUGAACCGACCAGCGCGUUUCGAUUGACUCAUGCGGAAGCCUGCUUCGAUCUGAACUGCGAAAACGAAACAUUAGGUUUGCUACCUGAUACAGUUGGUCGUCUGGCUUAGA